CCAGGGAGUGUGUGGGAUUCACAGGCCCCAGUAGUGAGGCAGCCAGGAAGGCCCCUCCGAGGACCUGGACAAGGAGAAGGAGCCACUCACCAGAAGAUCUGGGGAGCACCCUUGCAGGCAGAGGGAAGUGCAGGUGCAAAGGCCCUGAGGUGCAAAGGAGGGCAGCGUACCUGCAGAACAGCAAGGAGGCAAGUGUGCAUGUAGGAGGGGGAGAGGAGGAAGGGAUAAGGUCACAGGCGAACCUAAGGAGGUUGGAUUCCAUUCUAGGGUUUUGUGCAGAGAGGCAACAUAAUCGGGCUUGUUUCGAGCAGAGCAGUCUGGCAAGAGGGCAAGCAGGGGCCCUGCUAAACCGAACCCAGCUCAUUCCCAAACGUCGUGCAAAAUAACACCGCGAACAGUGCCAUCCGUCCAUGCUGGGCCAAGGUCUGUCUUCGCCAGAGUUCAUAUAAUAAUAACUGCAUUUGCCAUCCUGAGAACCCAGGCUCUGCCGGCCCUUGUACCAGGCGCUGUUCUAAUCGCUCAAUGGCCACACCCGCCCUGGGGAGGAGGUAGUACUCAGAUCUCCAUUUUAUGAAUCAGCUCCAGACAGGUGGGGAUAUGAAUCACAACUGCCCGGCAGGUGUCCUGGGCACCAGCUCAGGUAGCCCUUUACCUGGGAAGGUUUCAAGCGGGUUGGAAGGGAGCUGACUGGAAGGCAGGACAACUGGGGGUGUGUUCUCCCCAUCAGAGUAAGUGACUGUUUCCUGCCAGGAAAUCUCAAGCGCUGGUGGAAAGAGGUAAAGAGUCAACUUUCUGCCCUCUCCCUGCCCUCAACCAUUCCUCCACCGCAGAGCGACCCCUUGAUGGCUGGAAGACAUCUCGUAUUGCCUCCCUGGGGCAGCUUCAUAAGCACUCUGCACUCUGGAAGAGACGGGUGCCGACGGUGGGAUUUUCACAAGAGGCAGGAUCCCCCCCCCUCUCUGAAACCUGUAACACUCCCGAUGCGCUUUUGUUGCAAGAGGCUGAGGGCAGCUGCUGGCAGAAAAACGUAAAGGCAAAAACAUCACCCGAUGACUGAAACAGCCCGAGAAGGAGCAACGGGGGAGGCCACGGUCCUUUUCGUGGCACCGUGACUGCAGCAGAAGUCCCCAAGGACUGGCGACUGAUGCCCCGCCAUGAGAGGGCAAGUGUGGAAGCCAUUCAAAGGUCUAACUGCUGGCCCUUGCCCUUUAUUUGUGCUGUCAGUAACCAACCAGUUUGGGAGUUGACCCGAAGGGAAACGAGCAUUCCUGGCAGGCAGGAUUUUGUCUCCUGCUUCAUCAGCAACAGGUCACGAACAAACGAACGAAUGAAUGAAUGAAUGAAUGACACUGAUGCACAUACGGUUCAUGUUUAUAUUUAUACACGAUCUGUAUUUUAUCAUUAAAGAUCAAAGAUGCAUUUUAUAGAAAGAAGGGAUUGUAUUUAUUGCCUUCUGUGCUUUCAAUUCUUUCUCUGCAGUAAUAAUGAAUUCCUCACCCGGCAAAUCCUGUCUCUCGCGUGACUUGACCUCAUCUAUUAAAUCAUAAAAGCAUCUCAUCUCACAUCUGGAGGGACGUGACUCUUUGCAAAGCCUUCACUUUUGAGAUGACAUUGAAAUCUGUGAAGUGACUCACCGGUUGGGCGGUGGAGUUUUGGUGACAGCUCCUGUGUCUAAAUGAGCUGCUGUGAAGGUGAUUUCUCCUCAAAUGUCAACCGGGUGUUAAGGGAACAGAAUGUCGAGGUGAUUUCUAAAGGCAUCAGGCCUAACACGAAGCUAAUUAUAUGCUUCUGGUGUACUUUCUAUCUUAUCAUUAACCAUUUCCGAUAGCACACUGACAAGGCGAAACAUACCAUCAGGUUUGCUGGGGAACGUAGCUUCCUAGAAAAGCGGUUGUGAGUCUUUGAAAACUCUGCCUUUGUCAACUCUUGCAUUUUACCGUGCACUUAAAACGACAAAGCCCAUCGUAGGACAUGGCUGGAGCAGUCAAGUUCAGAGAGGCAGAAAGCGGAAUGGUGGGUACCAGGCGCCGGCGGAAGGCGGAUAUGGGAGUUCUGUAAAUGGGGGCAGAGGACCCGUUUUGCGAGAUGGAAGAAUUCUGGUGGGGACGGCUGCAUGGCAGUGUGAACGUUGACGAGCACCAGAACAUGCCAUCUGAGAUUAUUUUGAGCUGAAGGCACUUGAAGAUCAGCAUAGGCCGGGAGAGGCUGUCCCUGAACCCCCCCUUAUGUGCCUAAAUACAGACCUUCCCAAGGGGCCCACUGGUCCAAGAUCCCCCCUCCGGAGGUUCACCAACCGGGGCAGACUGGCACACGGUCACACACUGUCCUACCUCCCAUCUACUCUAUGGUCCUUCCUAAAAACCGUUGAAUGGCCCCCCGAGGGGCCUAUACCCCCCUCUUCUUUCCCUCUUCAGAUGGUGUUUAGGCCUAAAUUCUAAAACCACCUCUGACUUCAUAAUUCAUGUUGUCCUGGGGGAUCUCCCGUGCAUAUGUGUGACCUACAUGUUAAUAAACUGCUGGGGACUUUU